GUAUUAUUUUUAUUUUUAUACUUUAUGAAAUUACAAAUCUGCCCUCAUCUUUAUCAGGCUUUUUUUUCUUUUUCUUGGCCUUCUUCGAACAUUCUGGGAGAGCAGAGAGAGAGUUAGAAAGCUGAUCCCAAAUCCUUGCUCUAUCUCUCGCCGACUUCUGCCUCUUACCUUCUCAAUCACUGGUCAUGCGCUGUUCGUGUGAGUCACUGUUAUCGUUGCUGGUGUGCUUGUCACUAGUUCUUCCUCUGCGGCUGUGAGUUCUUCCUCUGUUUUACCAUCGCUCAUCCUCCUCUAUCACUACCUCAAUCCUUCCUCUCUACUGUUCAUACCUGAAGCUAUUUCCUUCUUUCUCUGCUGGUGCGUGUGGUUCCUUUAAGUUAGAAACCUGAUCUUAUCUCAUUUCCUUGGAAGAUUUCUGUACGUGUGAAUGGAUGAAGAGAUAGAACUGACGCUGGAAAAAAAAAUCGUGUCCUGUAUGCUGCGGAUAUUUGGAGGAGGAGAAAUUUGAUCAACAGUGAGAGGUGAAUUUUAGUUCUGGGAAUUUUAGGUAAGUGGAUACUGUCCCAACUAAUUGUCUAAUAAAAUUUUCUGUUAAUAAAAUAUUACAAUUUUAUGCAAAUCAUUUUUACAACAACAAUGUGAAUAUUAGAUAAUUUGUUGAUCAAACUUCUUUAUUUUAUGAAAUUACCUUUAUCACUUUUAAAGUGUUAAUUAUUCAAUAAAUAUAAGUUUGGACUUUGAUUGUGGGAUUUCAUUCUAAAAUUUUUAUUGUUGCUAUGGAAAAAUGAUUUAUGCGAGUUUGUCAUGGAAAAUGGAAGUUUUAUUUUGAAAGUGGUGAUUUUCUCGCAUGUUGAAAAAUGGAUUUGAAAGGGACUUUAUACAGAACACCGGU